AAGCAGUCUUCUUAAAAUGUUCUUGGAUUUCUGCACUUCCAGGAACUACAAGAAACUGAACCUAGAAAAUGUGUGGAAUCAAGGACAAUGAGAUUGCAUUUUAAAAUAUCUACCUCUGACUACAACAACAGCAGCAAAUUGAGCCACAAUAAUUACUGGAAGAAUAAAGGAUAGAAAUUCAGGGCUCUGGAUACUUGGGGAAUUAGGGAGAGAUGAAGUCUACUGCUAAACAUAGAAAAAAAAGACAUGUCUUAGUUCAGGUAAUGGCCAGAGGGUAGGUAACUCAAAUAGAAAACAGAUGUUUCUACUCCCAUGAAGUUAUUCAAGGAGUCAGAUUGUCACCCUCGUGUUGCUCUGCCAUCCCUGGGUGUGUCGCUGAAACUGAGUGGCCGCCAUCCACGGCCUAGGGAACUGGCAAGCAGAGGGAGCCAUUUAUUAUUAAGCAAACGAUGUAGAAGCUACACACCUCAUGUCCAACCACAUUCUAUUGGUUAAACAUAAGGGCUAAUGGGAAAAGUUUAAGAAGCAUAAACUUUGGCUCCAAAUAAGAAAGAUUUACUACAACUCUAAGGACUGCCUUAUGAGGCGGUGUCCUGUUUCUCAAGACCUAUUUCAAAUUAUUCUCCUUCCAUUCAGUGACAAACAAAACUUGAGUGGCAACUCUAUGAAAUAUAUUCAGUUUUGCUGAUGGUUCAAAAAUGAAAAGGUAAACACUAUGAUUUAUGCCCUUAUAGCAGAUACUGGCCAUGCCUUGCCCAUAUGAGAAUGGGCGCUUCUGUCUUAGUGCACACGAUGCUCUUUCCUAUCGCCAAGGGCUUGCUUUCUCUGGCACCUGAGCUCUGAACACCACAUGCUGAAACCACCAGAGAUAUCCUCACA